AGACACGGUCCACACUCCUACGGGAGGCAGCACUGGGGAAUAUUGGACAAUGGGCGCAAGCCUGAUCCUGCCAUACCGCGUGGGUGAAGAAGGCCUUUCGGGUUGUAAAGCCCUUUUGUUGGGAAAGAAAUCCUGUCGGUUAAUACCCGGUGGGGAUGACGGUACCCAAAGAAUAAGCUCCGGCUAAUUUCGUGCCAGCAGCCGCGGUAAUAUGAAGGGUGCAAGCGUUGCUGGGAAUUACUGGGCGUAAAGCGUGCGUAGGUGGUUGUUUAAGUCUGUCGUGAAAGCCCUGGGCUCAACCUGGGAAUUGGGAUGGAUACUGGGCGACUAGAGUCUUGUAGAGGGGGGUAGAAUUCCAGGUGUAGCGGUGAAAUGCGUAGAGAUCUGGAGGAAUCCCGGUGGCGAAGGCGGCCCCCUGGACAAAGACUGACGCUCAGGUGCGAAAGCGUGGGGAGCAAACAGGAUUAGAUACCCUGGUAGUCCACCCCGUAAAC
rnacentral:rRNA from 1 species